rnacentral:rRNA from 1 species
UUCUAAAGCAUGAACGUCUGGGAGAACCUUCGGGGGAAACCGGCGAUUGGGCGAGUAAUGCGAUCGAACGUACCCCAAUGUGGGGGAUAGCGUCGGGAAACUGGCGGUAAUAUCCCGUGUGCUCUACGGAGGAAGUUGGGAGCGGCGAUCGUCCUAUCAGGUUGUUGGCGGGGUAAAGGCCCACCAAGCCGAAGACGGGUAGCGGGUGUGAGAGCAUGGCCCGCUGCAUCGGGACUGAGACACUGCCCGGACUCCUACGGGAGGCUGCAGCGACGAAUCUUCCGCAAUGCGCGAAAGCGUGACGGAGCAAUGCCGCGUGUAGGAUGAGGGCGCUCUGCGUCGUAAACUACUGUCAGACCCUAGAACCAACGAUCAGGGUCAGAGGAAGGGCCGGCUAAACUCGUGCCAGCAGCCGCGGUAAUACGAGUGGCCCAAGCGUUAAUCGGAAUCACUGGGCUUAAAGCGUGCGCAGGCGGACCUUCAGGCGUCCCGUGAAAUACCCCGGCUCAACCGGGGAAUGGCUGGGCGAACCGUUGGUCUUGAGGCAGGUAGGGGGGUGCAGAACUGUCGGUGGAGCGGUGAAANUCCUA